rnacentral:tRNA from 1 species
AAGUCUUUAAGUUAAAAAAACUAUAUACCUUCAAAGUAUAAAUUAAUUAAAAUUAAGUCUUA